rnacentral:rRNA from 1 species
CCUACGGGCGGCUGCAGUGAGGAAUAUUGGACAAUGGACGCAAGUCUGAACCAGCCAUGCCGCGUGCAGGAAGACGGCUCUAUGAGUUGUAAACUGCUUUUGUACGAGGGUAAACGCAGAUACGCGUAUCUGUAUGACAGUAUCGUACGAAUACGGAUCGGCUAACUCCGUGCCAGCAGCCGCGGUAAUACGGAGGAUUCAAGCGUUAUCCGGAUUUAUUGGGUUUAAAGGGUGCGUAGGCGGUCGGGUAAGUUAGAGGUGAAAGCCCGAGGCUCAACUUCGGAAUUGCCGCUGAUACUGUUCGGCUAGAGAGUAGGUGCGGUAGGCGGAAUGUAUGGUGUAGCGGUGAAAUGCGUAGAGAUCAGACAGAACACCGAUUGCGAAGGCAGCUUACCAAGCUACGUCUGACGUUGAGGCACGAAAGCGUGGGGAGCAAACAGGAUUAGAUACCCCUGUAGUC